UUAAGCGACUAAGCGUACACGGUGGAUGCCCUGGCAGUCAGAGGCGAUGAAGGACGUGCUAAUCUGCGAAAAGCGCCGGCGAGGUGAUAUGAACCUUUGACCCGGCGAUGUCCGAAUGGGGAAACCCAGUGCAAUCCGUUGCACUAUCGUUAACUGAAUACAUAGGUUAACGAGGCGAACCGGGGGAACUGAAACAUCUAAGUACCCCGAGGAAAAGAAAUCAACCGAGAUUCCCCCAGUAGCGGCGAGCGAACGGGGAGCAGCCCGGAGUCUGAAUCAGCUUGUGUGUUAGUGGAACGGUCUGGAAAGUCCGACGGUACAGGGUGAUAGUCCCGUACACGAAAGCACACAUGCUGUGAACUCGAAGAGUAGGGCGGGACACGUGGUAUCCUGUCUGAAUAUGGGGGGACCAUCCUCCAAGGCUAAAUACUCCUGACUGACCGAUAGUGAACCAGUACCGUGAGGGAAAGGCGAAAAGAACCCCGGCGAGGGGAGUGAAAAAGAACCUGAAACCGUGUACGUACAAGCAGUGGGAGCCUCUUUAUGGGGUGACUGCGUACCUUUUGUAUAAUGGGUCAGCGACUUAUAUUCUGUAGCAAGGUUAACCGUAUAGGGGAGCCGAAGGGAAACCGAGUCUUAACUGGGCGUUAAGUUGCAGGGUAUAGACCCGAAACCCGGUGAUCUAGCCAUGGGCAGGUUGAAGGUUGGGUAACACUAACUGGAGGACCGAACCGACUAAUGUUGAAAAAUUAGCGGAUGACCUGUGGCUGGGGGUGAAAGGCCAAUCAAACCGGGAGAUAGCUGGUUCUCCCCGAAAGCUAUUUAGGUAGCGCCUCGUGAACUCAUCUUCGGGGGUAGAGCACUGUUUCGGCUAGGGGGCCAUCCCGGCUUACCAACCCGAUGCAAACUACGAAUACCGAAGAAUGUUAUCACGGGAGACACACGGCGGGUGCUAACGUCCGUCGUGAAGAGGGAAACAACCCAGACCGCCAGCUAAGGUCCCAAAGUCAUGGUUAAGUGGGAAACGAUGUGGGAAGGCACAGACAGCCAGGAUGUUGGCUUAGAAGCAGCCAUCAUUUAAAGAAAGCGUAAUAGCUCACUGGUCGAGUCGGCCUGCGCGGAAGAUGUAACGGGGCUAAACCAUGCACCGAAGCUGCGGCAGCGACACUAUGUGUUGUUGGGUAGGGGAGCGUUCUGUAAGCCGUUGAAGGUGUGCUGUGAGGCAUGCUGGAGGUAUCAGAAGUGCGAAUGCUGACAUAAGUAACGAUAAAGCGGGUGAAAAGCCCGCUCGCCGGAAGACCAAGGGUUCCUGUCCAACGUUAAUCGGGGCAGGGUGAGUCGACCCCUAAGGCGAGGCCGAAAGGCGUAGUCGAUGGGAAACAGGUUAAUAUUCCUGUACUUGGUGUUACUGCGAAGGGGGGACGGAGAAGGCUAUGUCAGCCGGGCGACGGUUGUCCCGGUUUAAGCAUGUAGGCGGAGGUUCCAGGUAAAUCCGGUACCUUUUAACGCUGAGGUGUGAUGACGAGGCACUACGGUGCUGAAGUGAUAAAUGCCCUGCUUCCAGGAAAAGCCUCUAAGCAUCAGGUAACACGAAAUCGUACCCCAAACCGACACAGGUGGUCAGGUAGAGAAUACCAAGGCGCUUGAGAGAACUCGGGUGAAGGAACUAGGCAAAAUGGUGCCGUAACUUCGGGAGAAGGCACGCUGAUGUGUAGGUGAAGCCCCUGCGGGCGGAGCUGAAAUCAGUCGAAGAUACCAGCUGGCUGCAACUGUUUAUUAAAAACACAGCACUGUGCAAACACGAAAGUGGACGUAUACGGUGUGACGCCUGCCCGGUGCCGGAAGGUUAAUUGAUGGGGUUAGCGGCAACGCGAAGCUCUUGAUCGAAGCCCCGGUAAACGGCGGCCGUAACUAUAACGGUCCUAAGGUAGCGAAAUUCCUUGUCGGGUAAGUUCCGACCUGCACGAAUGGCGUAAUGAUGGCCAGGCUGUCUCCACCCGAGACUCAGUGAAAUUGAACUCGCUGUGAAGAUGCAGUGUACCCGCGGCAAGACGGAAAGACCCCGUGAACCUUUACUAUAGCUUGACACUGAACACUGGUCCUUGAUGUGUAGGAUAGGUGGGAGGCUUUGAAGCGUGGACGCCAGUCUGCGUGGAGCCAACCUUGAAAUACCACCCUUUAAUGGCUGGUGUUCUAACGUAGACCCGUAAUCCGGGUUGCGGACAGUGUCUGGUGGGUAGUUUGACUGGGGCGGUCUCCUCCCAAAGAGUAACGGAGGAGCACGAAGGUUGGCUAAUCCUGGUCGGACAUCAGGAGGUUAGUGCAAUGGCAUAAGCCAGCUUGACUGCGAGCGUGACGGCGCGAGCAGGUGCGAAAGCAGGUCAUAGUGAUCCGGUGGUUCUGAAUGGAAGGGCCAUCGCUCAACGGAUAAAAGGUACUCCGGGGAUAACAGGCUGAUACCGCCCAAGAGUUCAUAUCGACGGCGGUGUUUGGCACCUCGAUGUCGGCUCAUCACAUCCUGGGGCUGAAGUAGGUCCCAAGGGUAUGGCUGUUCGCCAUUUAAAGUGGUACGCGAGCUGGGUUUAGAACGUCGUGAGACAGUUCGGUCCCUAUCUGCCGUGGGCGCUGGAGAAUUGAGGGGGGCUGCUCCUAGUACGAGAGGACCGGAGUGGACGCAUCACUGGUGUUCGGGUUGUCAUGCCAAUGGCACUGCCCGGUAGCUAAAUGCGGAAGAGAUAAGUGCUGAAAGCAUCUAAGCACGAAACUUGCCCCGAGAUGAGUUCUCCCUGAGACUUUAAGUCUCCUGAAGGAACGUUGAAGACGACGACGUUGAUAGGUCGGGUGUGUAAGCGCAGCGAUGCGUUGAGCUAACCGAUACUAAUGAACCGUGAGGCUUAACCUU
rnacentral:rRNA from 1 species